AUCGUUCAUCCCUUAUAGGGUCGGAAGUAUGCUAUAAUGCAGAAGGAACGCAUC
ncrna:unclassified sequences Glutamine riboswitch